UGUUCAGUAAACGACACAAGUUUUCCCGAUGUACUCCGGGUUUUACAUCAGUGUUGUUUGCAACGCCGUAUCCUUCAAUUUCAUUGAAGACAUCAAGCGAACAUAAACUUGAACGGUGUAUGAUGUGCUUGCAAAAGUAAAAAAACAACGUACAUAAACGCCAACGUGUACAUAGAGAUUUUCAUUGAAAAGGUGUACUCCGGAAUUAUUCCGCUUUUGACUCCAUUUUAUAUUUUUAUUUGAGCUCUCUACGUUUGAGGUAGCAAAGGGACUUCGGCUUGUCAACUAAAAUCACCACGGACCUGCUAGAGCACUAGAUUUUUCAUUACAGAAGAAGUUUAAGAACUGAAUCGUUUCUCUAUAGAGAAAAGGUUGAAAAGCAUUUUAAUUUGAGGAUAUUCCAACCUGAAGCAAGUUGUACCAAUGUUAAUGAUGGAAGACCCUGUUAGAAUACUGUGCAUACCUGGGGCUAAAACUUAAUCAAAGAUGACCUAUGCUGAAGUGGUGAGACUUGCUAUGCAUGUAACAGGAGACCAAACUGAGACCACCUUUGAUAUAAAGUGUAUAGAAAUGAAGAAAUCAAUGGGAGCCCCUGCCAAAAGGAGGAGUGUUGUUACAGAAUAUAAGUUCCCAAUGAAACAGGGUAUAGAUGAGUGAUCUAGUGUUUGAGUUCACUGAGGAUGUGGCUGUCAUCCUAACAAACAAAGGUUUACAUAGUAUUUAUCAGGCAACAUUCAGACAGUCAGAUAUUCUACAUUUCGGAUACGGAAUAAAGAAAUUGCUGUUGAGGAAGAGAGAAGUUUCUGUGACGAGAUUGAUACACAUAGAGAAUUUGAGUGUAAUGAAGUUGUGAGUAGUAUUUUAACCAAAAGAACAUCUACCCUAACAACAGUGAAGAUUAAAGGGAUCAGUUGCUGUAUGGUGAUAUUGAAAGAAAUCCAGGACCUACAAUGGUUUAUGAAGACUUCUUAGAGCUUGCCAUAUAAGUGUCAACAAUUUUAAAGAACAGAGAAGACUAUUAUUGCACUUAGUUUUGAGUUUUUGUUUUAUAUUUUAUCACUAUGAUAGACUAAUGUUAAAUUCAGGAAUUGUAUUUUUCUGAUAUAUCUGUUUUGUAAUUACGUUUUACUCAUUUUUAAAUACGUUUGAGACGUUUUUUUUAUACCUUUUC